AAUGAACGCUGGCGGCAGGCCUAACACAUGCAAGUCGAACGAAGCCUUCGGGCUUAGUGGCGGACGGGUGAGUAACGCGUGGGAACGUGCCCUUUGCUUCGGAAUAGCCUCGGGAAACUGGGAGUAAUACCGAAUGUGCCCUACGGGGGAAAGAUUUAUCGGCAAAGGAUCGGCCCGCGUUGGAUUAGGUAGUUGGUGGGGUAAUGGCCUACCAAGCCUACGAUCCAUAGCUGGUUUUAGAGGAUGAUCAGCCACACUGGGACUGAGACACGGCCCAGACUCCUACGGGAGGCAGCAGUGGGGAAUCUUAGACAAUGGGCGCAAGCCUGAUCUAGCCAUGCCGCGUGAUCGAUGAAGGCCUUAGGGUUGUAAAGAUCUUUCAGCUGGGAAGAUAAUGACUGUACCAGCAGAAGAAGCCCCGGCUAACUCCGUGCCAGCCGCCGCCGUAAUAC
rnacentral:rRNA from 1 species